GUCCUGUUGCGCGAGUGGAACGCCGUGAGAUACUUCCUCAUUAGAGAAUGGCGGCUGCCGCCUGCACUACCGUUAACAACACUACCAACCCGCAGAAACAACACCGGAGGAAAAGUAGAGAUACGCGGCGGAGACAAGCAGCUCUCUUUUUCCUUAGUAACAUUUCACUAGAUGGACGGCCAGUACAACAGACAUACCAUGGAAACCGAGACAGCGAGUUGCUGGGGGGCGAUAUCGGGGCGACAGUGGCCGGGAUGUUAACCGUGUCUAGCUAUGGGACCUUCACUAACCUACCAACGUCUGUGAGCUGCGGGACCGUUGGGAACGUUUGCGCCGUUCCGGGACUCGGAGUUAUCACUGUCCCGCCUAUCCUCGUUCUGCCUUCGGACUCGUUCAAUGAUGGGAUAACGGAGGUAUUUCUGGAGAGGCGAGGAGGAUCGUUUUCCUCGCAGGGAAACCUCCUCUCUCCCUCGGGUCUCCUUCCUACUCCCCUCGGACGGCGGAAGUCCUCCACGUUGCUGUCGGUCCAAAGUUGUAAUUCGGUGACUUCGGAACCGGGACGGAGGCGAAGUACAAUGAAGGCACCACGGAUCUCGACAAGAGGCGCAACGCUAAGCAGUGCUAUUUAGAUAACUUGACGGAUUUAGCUACGUACAACCAAUUUCCAUCUAGCUAGUUGGUCGUCUACAUGUUGCUAGCUGUACAUAUAGUUCAAUGGGAUGAAGGCUCGUAAUAAUGUCUGGAAUGGAGUAAAUGGAAUGGUCACCAUAACGCAUGAUCGGGGUUGACCUCAUUCACUAAAUCCAGGAAUGGCAACAGCUGGUGUCUGAUGGCGACCAAUCACCAAGUGGAUGGAGGCAAUACCCCUUUAAGGUGAGACUGAACAUGGACAAGGCACAGGAGAAACGUAAGGAGAGCUACCGGAGCAGAAUCAAGAAGGGGACUAAGUGCUAUGACAUCCGGGUGAUAUUUUUUUUUAUUUUUU